GGGAAAGAUUUCCCUCGUGUUAAAGAAAGUGCAGUGAAAUAAAUAAAAAGAAAAGUGCCACGACUGCGAGUUCUUUCGUGUGGAGCGGAUCUUGUCCACUUGCUCCGCCCGGUGCUGGGAUAACCACGAACACAAGGCACGCACGGGCUUUCUACGGAUCACGACACGACAGAAGACGACCGACGGCACACGCAAGUUUGGUCAGGCGACAGCACGAAAAGUUCCCCGAAGGAGCGCGUUAGUUCUUUGGAUUCAAAAGCCGACGCGAAACGACGGUCCGUUGCUCCGAACCGGGAAAGCGAAGACGAGCACCUCAUCACUUGAAGCAGAAAAAUACCCCGCUGGGGUUUUUCUGUUGAGCUAAUUCCUAUCAUCGAGGAACGGGAGUAUCGUGAUCGAGGCAGCGGUGCGACAAGGCGACGGUCGGAUUGCCGAAACAUCGAUUGCGUUUCGUCCGGCAGGACUAGGUCGGAGGAGAUUCGUUCUGGAGCAAGCAGCCCUUCAGUGGAUCACUGGGAAAGACCCCAUCCAGUUACUUGCUCGCACUGGACGGCCAGAGGGGUCUCCAGCAGAGUGAUUAGGAUGCAUGCGUGGGACGGCAAUGAAAUGCGGUAGGCGAGCAGUCGCGGCAGCGAGAGCUCCGCCGAAAAAAUAGUGUAGGGGGACGCCCCGAACACAGAAGGUACCGCGAGUUCUGUGAAGAGACCGUGAGUACGAAAAAUCUAUGUCGUAAAUCGGAAAGAUAGAGAAGGAGA